ensembl:lncRNA
AAACGCGGAGAUCACGAAUGAGAAAGUUGUUUCGCCACAAACGCUGAAGCGAGCGGGAUGGUUUUCUUUCUGUUAUUGCUCACAAGCGAGUUUCUUGUAUAGUAAGCAAGCUUAGGAAGGCUUUGGGAUUUUACUAUUAUUAUUAUUAUGUUCUCUCAUCAUGAGCUGGGAACCAUAGCGAAGAGCUGAUCUGGCAGUGUAACAGAAGGUCUCUGCCAAGAAGUCUGCUUAUAAACUGCUCAGAGACUCCACUGAGUGUCCUGGCUCAAAAACAGUUGUUAGCCAGAUAACCAGAGAAAAGUCCUGAAAUUACCAGUGUUUGAUGAAAUCUAGUGCACCCAUGCUUUGGGACAGCAGUAGAAGGCAGAUCCUUCUUCUUUUCAUCCACUGAUCUGGACCCUGGGUUCUUGUCUGAGUUGCCUCAUAGGAAAGAAAUCAGUCCUACAGAAGCCCUGUGUAGCCUUACAGUUACUUCUGCUUCAGUGGACCUUGUGACUGUACGUGUCCCUUCUGCAAGACAACAGAAAAUGCUAAGGGAUCUGCUUCAAGGUAGAUUACAGAAGCCCAGCCAAGCUGUGAUUUGAUAUUAAUACACUAGAAAUGGUUAGGGACCUGAAGCCUUUUUUCCUGUUAAAGAAAAAUAUUCUUUGGUAUUGGCUUGCAGCAGAUGUGUACCAGCAUACCAGCAGCAAGUUCAGCUUCUUCAGUGGUGUUAUUAAUUAUAAUUCAGUGCUACUGUAAUACCUGAGUGUUAGAUAGAAAUGUACUUUAGAACAGUUCCAUGCAGUAAAUGUUUGGGAUGGAAAUGGAGAGACUCAAAACUAAUUAAGUUAUUCAUCACAGUGCCAUAUAUGACAGUGAAAAUUCUCAUCCUGGCCCUCAGCUGGAUGGAUUUUCCAGUUGCUGUUAAAGUGUACUCACCAUCUGCAGAAUGGUAUGCAGUUGCCUCAUUAGAUAAAAUUCUUUGUCUGAACUAUUAAAAAAAAAGGAACUUGCAGAAAAUUCACCACGAAAAGUCAGCCUAUCAAAAUCAAAACACUGAAAGAAAGCAGCUAAUUUCAAUUUAUGUAUUGCUUUUUAAAUAACAGCAAAUAAAAAAAUGUAAAGCACAGUGCCUCCAACAGAGGCAUUCCCUACCUGUGAGUACUUUGCUUUCCUUGGCUUGCAAUGACCUUGUUUCAAAACAUAAUUCAUGUAGAAGUUAAAAAAAAAUUAAAAGAUAAAAUAAAAAUGAAAGAUUUUUUAAAAAUUGCUUGACUUGAGCUGUCUUUUCCUUCACAAUGAAAGAUAAAAAUGAGUUCCCAAAUAAAAGAUUUUCCAUGUAAACAAUCCUGUAAGCCAUUUAGAAAAGGCAGAAAAUAUGUAUUCCUAUACAUGCAUAGGUAAAUAAGUUCCCUUGUAGCAGAACUUUAUUGAGAAACAGUAUUUACACAGCUUUCUUAGGUCAUUGCCUAUUAUGCACUCCUUGUACAUUUAAAAUAAAUAUUUCAAGCAGU